CCUGGCUCAGAACGAACGCUGGCGGCGUGCCUAACACAUGCAAGUCGAACGAGAAAGUCCCUUCGGGGGCUAGUAAAGUGGCGCAAGGGUGAGUAACACGUGAAUAAUCUGCCCUCAAACCUGGGAUAACUUCGCGAAAGUGAAGCUAAUACCGGAUAAGACCACGUUUCGCAAGAAACGCGGUAAAAGGAGUCUCAAACUUCAUUUGAGGAUGAGUUCGCGGACCAUUAGCUUGUUGGCGGGAUAACAGCCCACCAAGGCUACGAUGGUUAGCCGGCCUGAGAGGGUGAUCGGCCACACUGGAACUGAGACACGGUCCAGACUCCUACGGGAGGCAGCAGUGGGGAAUAUUGCGCAAUGGGCGAAAGCCUGACGCAGCAACGCCGCGUGAGGGAUGAAGGUCUUUGGAUUGUAAACCUCUGUCGAAUGGGAAGAAAAUUUGACGGUACCAUUAAAGGAAGCCCCGGCUAACUCCGUGCCAGCAGCCGCGGUAAUACGGAGGGGGCAAGCGUUGUUCGGAAUUAUUGGGCGUAAAGAGUAUGUAGGCGGUUAGAUAAGUCAGGUGUGUAAGCCCAGGGCUCAACCCUGGAAUUGCAUUUGAAACUGUCUGACUUGAGUUCAGGAGAGGAAAGCGGAAUUCCCAGUGUAGCGGUGAAAUGCAUUGAUAUUGGGAAGAACAUCGGUGGCGAAGGCGGCUUUCUGGUCUGAUACUGACGCUGAGAUACGAAAGCUAGGGGAGCGAACGGGAUUAGAUACCCCGGUAGUCCUAGCUGUAAACGAUGGGUACUAGGUGCAGGUUGUUUUUACAAUCUGUGCCGCAGCUAACGCGUUAAGUACCCCGCCUGGGGAGUACGUUCGCAAGAAUGAAACUCAAAGGAAUUGACGGGGGCCCGCACAAGCGGAGGAACAUGUG
rnacentral:rRNA from 1 species